AGUGGAAUAGCUGGAGCAAAUGGUGGAUCCAUUCCAAGUUUUCUAAAGAAUCUCCAUACUGAUUUCCAAAGUGGUUGCACCAAUUUGCAGUCCCACCAUCAAU
rnacentral:pre_miRNA from 1 species